UCUCUGUAAAUUCACGUAGCCGUACGUGGCGUCACAUUACACUAAAAAUGGCGGACGGAAGUAAUUGUUGCGUUGAUUACAAAAUGCUAUUGUAUAUUAUCAAUGUCCACAUUUAAGUCUGUGAUGUGGUUUAUGGGUAGGAGAAGUUACCUGCGCUACGUUGAGUGGUUCUGAGCAAUGAGAAGACAACGUUUCAUCGAGUGUCCAUGAUGUAUCAACUUUAUCGUCAAUGCACAAAACAUAAACAUCUUCAAACUUCGAAAUUCCGAGCCGCACGUGAAUGCAAUGCGGAACAUGAGAGAAGUAAAGUGGAGGUGAGAAAAAGAAGAGUCAACAGCAGUCAAGAGAGAAGUUGCUGGUAGACAAUGAUAUCCUUUAACAGUCCCAAAAAGAGCACAUCUGAGCCACAUCCUAUUGCAAACAUACCCUUAUCAUCAGAGAUGGGGUUGAGAUUAUUUCCAACCAAAUCGCCUGUAAUAUAAUCCGUAAACCCUCAUCAUUCAAUGUCAGGGACGCCGGUUCUCCUGAACCUUCUCACCCUCUGACAUGGGAACAGUCUCUCUGAAUUGCUUUGUCAACUGUGCUGAUUAAGGGACAUCAUCAGGUCACCCUCCGCUGUCGGCGUCCUCUCCCCGCCAUGAUGGUGAUGAUAGUGCAUAAUGUGCACUGUCCCAGGUGCGCAAGUUGCAUGCAAAGACAAUGAUGGCGCUCGGGUCGACCCUAACAUCCCUUACAUCAUGCAUGCAACCUCCACAGAUUAGUGUCACCUCGCAACGUGUCUCCAAAAUAUCUGCAACCUGACACUCGGGGAUACCCUUGAAUGCAACCAAAGGCGGUGGCACACCAUCCCUUGUACCCCACCCCCACUCCACUUCAUUCCCCGGGCAGUCAGCUUCCUCACAUCAGUCAGCUUCUUCGUCUCGCGUCAGCUGGUGAGCGAGGACUGCAGGUGAUGCUGGCCUGGUGCUCAAUGAUCCUCUUAAACAUUAGUUAAACCCCAGAUGUGAUUACUUCUCUCAUAUUUGCUUGAAUCUAACUUAAUUUUUGAAUUACAAUGUAUUUGUUUGUUUAUUUUGUACUUUUAGCCCGCACAUUUUAACGCAAAUACCCAUUUGACUGUUGGACCUUAACCUGAGGGCUGUUGGUGUCACCUGAACAACUUCAGAGUUUCAAAAUGCAGUAGAUUACACACACCGGAUUCAAAUAUUGGAGCAAAAUUAGAAUAUAUUUGUCCAUUAUUGUUACCUUUUUUUUUUAGAAAAUGAUUCAAUUGUAUGAUGGUCCAAUACGCAUUAUGCAGGGAGACGUACGCUACUUUUAAGAAAAAUAAAUUUCCUAACCUGUCUUUUAUCAUUUGUACAACCAAUUUCAACCACUACUUUUCUAUCACCAGCCUAUUGUCUACUUCCUUUUUUUUUUAUUCAGCUUUUAUCAAAUGCUUUUCUUGAAAGCUUUCAUUAACUUAAGUAACAAGUGGGAUCGACCUUUACGCACAAUGAACGCACUGCAGCCUUUUGUUUAAUUCUCUAGUGGCACCCUGCAGUCUUUCAUUAUUGAAUAAAAGCUUGUAUCCCCUGUGGUUUGUCUAUGUCAACCUUUCCUGAUUCUAAACCCGGUGCCAACUUGUUAAUUGGGCCCCUCAACAAGUGAUGUCAGAUAGUGUUCAGUUCUACCGUGAGCUCCCAGUGAAGAGAAACUCAAUCAUCUCCUCCAAACUGCGCGUACAAGAGAAGCUUAGGAAGACACCGGAUCGAGAGCAGUGGUGCAUUUUUUUUUUAAACCAACAUCUCGGUGCAUGAUGUCAUGCGCCAUGUUGAUACCUCACUGACUAUACUGUUACUGCACGAUCAUUUAUUCAUUGCUAAUGUUCAUUACGAACCUCAGACCUGCUGGACAUUCAGACUGACCGAGGGGAGGAGCAGCCUCUUCUUGUUCUUUUGUUAAAUGUUUGUUUCUGGAAAUAAAACAUCG